CUUAUGCUUAAUCGGAUCCUCAUCGAUGCCUUGAAGAUCUAUCACUGGAAAAACAAAGUGUGUUUCACAUGUUUUCGCCCUGUUUUUUGGGGGUAGAAUGAAUAUUUGUGGUACUUUAGUGAUUCCAUAAUCAACAAGACCUUUGACACCAGCCUUAGUAUCAUCAAACGCUUUUAAUUCACUCAUUCUGUCAUGACU